GAGAGUUUGAUUCUGGCUCAGGACGAACGCUGGCGGCGUGCCUAAUACAUGCAAGUAGAACGCUGAAGGAGGAGCUUGCUCUUCUGGAUGAGUUGCGAACGGGUGAGUAACGCGUAGGUAACCUGCCUGGUAGCGGGGGAUAACUAUUGGAAACGAUAGCUAAUACCGCAUAAUAGUAGAUGUUGCAUGACAUUUGCUUAAAAGGUGCAAUUGCAUCACUACCAGAUGGACCUGCGUUGUAUUAGCUAGUUGGUGGGGUAACGGCUCACCAAGGCGACGAUACAUAGCCGACCUGAGAGGGUGAUCGGCCACACUGGGACUGAGACACGGCCCAGACUCCUACGGGAGGCAGCAGUAGGGAAUCUUCGGCAAUGGACGAAAGUCUGACCGAGCAACGCCGCGUGAGUGAAGAAGGUUUUCGGAUCGUAAAGCUCUGUUGUAAGAGAAGAACGAGUGUGAGAGUGGAAAGUUCACACUGUGACGGUAUCUUACCAGAAAGGGACGGCUAACUACGUGCCAGCAGCCGCGGUAAUACGUAGGUCCCGAGCGUUGUCCGGAUUUAUUGGGCGUAAAGCGAGCGCAGGCGGUUAGAUAAGUCUGAAGUUAAAGGCUGUGGCUUAACCAUAGUACGCUUUGGAAACUGUUUAACUUGAGUGCAAGAGGGGAGAGUGGAAUUCCAUGUGUAGCGGUGAAAUGCGUAG
rnacentral:rRNA from 1 species